UGGGUCUCAAGGCUCCAUUUAGAUUACACAUCCAGCUCACUUCAAAUGGUCAGGAUGAAAAAGGAAGUGAAAGACCACUAUUAAAGGAAGCAGGUUAGGGGCCAGAGGAGAUUGUCGGAAAGGUGCUCCUGAAGGAAGUGGGUUAGAGAGGAGAGGCAGGAGAAAAUCAACACUGAAGGAAGUAGAUUAGAGACUGGAGGUGACCGUCAAGAUGGAGAGGGAGGAGAUGCAUGGGGGAGAGGAGGGGAGGAGGCCGUAGAAGGGCCCGGCAUGGCCGGGGUGAGGCGUGGGGAAGGCGGGCAGCUUGCCCAGGAGAGGAAGGCCACGAUGCUUGAUUGCACGCCAGGGAAAUGACAAGGCGCGGCGCUGGCCACUCACGGACUUCUGGUGGAUUCGCAAGAGCACCCGCUUGGUGCAGCGGUCCACGGUGGCCGCCCACUUCCUCUGCGCCUCCUGGUCCUCGUCCAGCAGGCAGCGCCGCAGGUCCUGCUUGUCGGCCUUGCGCAGGGUCCGCUCCGGCCCGGGGCGCACCAGCUGCGUCAGGUUCAGGUGGCUGUAGAGGCUGCGCUCCACCACGUAGGUGAUAUUGAACUCGCUGACGGCGGGGCGCCCGCGGCCGCGCCGUCCACCGCCGCCACCCGCCUUGGGCUUGGGCCGGGGCAGCGGCAGGUCGCCGGUGGAGCCAUUCGCGCUUCGCCGGGAGGGGCGCGCACAGGGCGCGGCGCGGGCGCACGAGUGGCCGUGGCCGGCGUCCGUCUUCCUCCAGCGGAUCUGCUUGCGCACGCUCUGCACCUCCUCCAGGGACACCAGCAAGUGGUGCCGGCGCCGGUGGUGGUCAUAGAAGAAGACGCCGUCCGU